rnacentral:rRNA from 1 species
CCUACGGGAGGCAGCAGUGGGGAAUAUUGGACAAUGGGGGCAACCCUGAUCCAGCCAUGCCGCGUGUGUGAAGAAGGCCCUCGGGUUGUAAAGCACUUUCAGUGAGGAAGAACGCCUGGUGGUUAAUACCCAUCAGGAAAGACAUCACUCACAGAAGAAGCACCGGCUAACUCCGUGCCAGCAGCCGCGGUAAUACGGAGGGUGCGAGCGUUAAUCGGAAUUACUGGGCGUAAAGCGCGCGUAGGUGGCUUGAUAAGCCGGUUGUGAAAGCCCCGGGCUCAACCUGGGAACGGCAUCCGGAACUGUCAAGCUAGAGUGCAGGAGAGGAAGGUAGAAUUCCCGGUGUAGCGGGGAAAUGCGUAGAGAUCGGGAGGAAUACCAGUGGCGAAGGCGGCCUUCUGGACUGACACUGACACUGAGGUGCGAAAGCGUGGGUAGCAAACAGGGUUAGAUACCCCAGUAGUC